AGGGGCCUGGGCACACGCCAUGCUCAUUUACAUUUUCAGGCUAAUUAAAAGAACCAUGCCUGCUUUGUGGCGUGCAAAGCCCUGGAACAGCUCCAGGGCCCCCAGUCACAGGCUGCAGGCCUGGGCUGGGGCACAAAGCAAGCACAGGCUGGCCAGGGACUAAAGGACUCUGUAAGAUCAGAGCGUGGCUGAUGCCUGCAGCAGAACACAGACCCUGCAAACAACUAUCUUCCUUCCCUGCCUCCGAGAAAGAUUCAUUCAUAUUGUUGUGGCUGAGAGGCUCUUCCUACCUGUCUCUUCUCUCCCUGCCUGCUGUGUGCCUUGAAUAUUGAUGGAGAUCUGUCUCUUCCUGCCGAAAGAAGCCCAGAACCGGCUUACACGAGGAGGAUCUGCAAAUGCACCAGGCGAGGUCAGGAGGCGUGCAAGUAUCUUCUGCCCUAAGCAGAACAAUUAUUCUUGUUUGGUGAAGACUAGAAGUGAUGCUUGUUUCCUAGAAAAAGGAGCUAUUCUGCUGUCCCCAAGCCGGACCAAGCCUGCAGUAAGGCUCACUGCAGGGAGCACGUGGCCAGCGGCUCCGACUUCGGCAGACCUUCGCGUGUGGUAUUAAACCACUUUCCAGAAUAAGGCAAGACUAUUUCCUCUGACACAGAGACACAAACGCUGUGAAGCCAUGGUUGUCCAGAGAAGACUGUCAUUGCAUUUUGGAGAGACCUAGAGUCUGGAAGCCCAUCACUGCUAGAUGAUGACCACUGAAGAACAACAUGCAAGGAGACAAGAUGGACAAAAGGUGGAAGCAGAAGAGAGGUAAAACCAUGUUUAUAAAUGCUCUCGGUCAUGAUGGCCUUGAUUUGCGAUUCUACUGCUUGGAUUGCUAUUCAGGUCUACCCCAUUGGCAACUGGUUACACUAUUUUGCUCUUAAGUCUAUUUUCACAGGGCAAUACAAACCCUACAGCAGAGGGAAUAACUCCAAACACUCAUGUUCCAGAAGUUCUGUCAAUCUCUUCCUUUAAUUCUGGAAGAUAACUUGUUUGGUUGUUCAUGUCUCU
rnacentral:lncRNA from 1 species